rnacentral:rRNA from 1 species
CCCUUAGAUGUUCUGGGCCGCACGCGUGCUACACUGAGUGGGUCAGCGGGUCAGGUUGCGCGAAAGCGUUUCCUAAUCUUUAAAUCCGCUCGUGAUGGGGAUUGACGGUUGCAAUUUUCUGUCAUGAACGAGGAAUACCUUGUAAGCGCGGGUCAUCAUCCCGCGCUGAAUACGUCCCUGCCCUUUGUACACACCGCCCGUCGCUCCUACCGAUUGAGUGGUCCGGUGAGGCUUUGGGAUCUGAGCGGAAAGAGCGUCUCGCUGUUUCUGCUCGGAAAACUCAGUCGAACCUUAUCAUUUAGAGGAAGGAGAAGUCGUAACA